GUCAGCCUGGGGACAGUGACACUGGAGAUGCGCGUUCACAAGACUUCUCCAUUUUUUUCUUUCAGUCUUUGAUUGAAUACAACGUUGCCCGGUUGGAAUAUUAUCGCUAUUUUCCGAGGAAAGUAGCAUAAAAAUAGAUUUUAAACAGAGUUUGACAUGCUUCUAAGUACGGUAAUGUAAUAUUUAGACAUUUUUGGUCACGAAAUGCGCACGCGCGUUACACUUCGGAUAGUGACCUGAACGCACGAACAAAACGGAGCUAUUUGGAUAUAACUAUGGAUUAUUUGGAACCAAAACAACAUUUGUUGUUGAAGUAGAAGUCCUGGGAGUGCAUUCUGACGAAGAACAGCAAAGCAUCAGUGGACACACCAGACUCUCCUUUAUCAGUCAUACAAAGAGAAUGUUCUAAUACCUCCCAUCGAAAAGAGAGCUGGCCCAAGCAAGCACAGGUUAAACCUGAAGCAUGAGGACUUGCAGCGAGUGGUAAACUUCAACAACUACGCAGAGGAUAAUGCAAUAGUAUUACCAGGAUGCCACCCAGGACACAAACACUUUGGUGGAAAGCUGCUGCCAUCCCAUGUGACAAAAGCAGCAGUAUGGUGUCUCUACAAGGAAUCAAUGACAACACUUGCAAAUAAUCUGGACCUUCACUUCCUGAUCACAGGCCACACCAAGUUUGCCCCGACUGGUGCAGGGCCUCAUCAAGCAGUGCUUCAGAAAGACCAGAGUGAAUACUUUGUCUGAGAUUGCUGGUGUUGUGAAGGACAGCACUGUGACAGGGGUAAACAUCCCAGUGGUGGUCCGCCUGUUAUCGAAACCUGGAGGUGGUCUUGAGAAGAGCGGCCUGGGCUCUCUUCCAGUUGCGGCGACAGCAACGGACGAACAUCUGGGCAGAAGGUAUGUUGACCUUUUCCUCUUGCUCUGGGAAGAGUGGGGGCUGAUAUCCCAGGGAACACUCAAAAGGCGAGAGACCAGUAGCAAAACAUGGAAGGUUGUUGUGGGCAUAUUCCACCCACAUUGGCUCGCUCCGAAUGGCCGUUUGACUGGGGAUGAAAACCAGAGGACAGGCUGGCCGACAACCAAAUGAGAGUGCACAAUGCCUUCCAGAACCGGGAUGAGAACUGAGGACCGAGAUCAGAGACCACAUUGACUGGAAGCCCAUGGAUCCGGAAGACAUGCUGCACCAUGAGCUGAGCAAUCUCCUUAGCUGAGGGCAACUUAGGAAGGGGAUAAAAUGGGCGGCUUUCGAAAACCUAUCCACCACCGUAAGGAUAGUAAUGUUACCAUCUGACGGAGGGAGACCUGUGACUACGUCCAAUGAUAUAUGGGACCAGGGGUGGUGAGGAACAGGGAGUGGUUGAAGGAGGCCAGCUGAAGAUUGUUCUGCGCACACACAGUGCAGGCGGCAACAAAUGCGUAAACGUCGGGAACCAUGGUGGGCCACCAAAAAUGUUGUCGGACAAAAGCCAAGGUCCAACGUGAGACAGGAUGACAG
rnacentral:lncRNA from 1 species